CGGACAUGCAAGGACGUUGUGAUAAAUCGGCUCCUCAUUCUCAGUACGUUCAGAAGAUCUUGCAUGAUGUUAAUCCAGAAAAAAAUAACCCGAGUUGAGGUAGCUUAUAGCCCAGAGGGUUCCGGGUCUCAGCCAGAGGGACACUGUUACUUCACGCUGAUCCAUCUGCCAGUUCCUCCAGUACUGUCUGUCAGUCUCUCCAGUUCUCGCCUCGUCCUAAAACUGCCCUAGCACCC